CACAAACUGCAACCACCCGUUGCCUGUAUUAAGUUAGCUAGUGAUAGCUACGCGGACACGGUGAGUCUAAGUUUUAUA
rfam:Weissella oryzae SG25 DNA, scaffold: sequence14.